rnacentral:rRNA from 1 species
AGCGAACGCUGGCGGCGUGCCUAACACAUGCAAGUCGAACGUGAACGGGGGGCAACCCCUAGUAAAGUGGCGUACGGGUGAGUAACGCGUAGGUAAUCUACCCCAGAAUCUGGAAUAACCUGCCGAAAGGCGGGCUAAUACUGGAUAGAGCGACGAAAUCCGUAAUUGGGUUUUUUCGGGAAAGGGAGCUCGCAAGAGCCCUCGUUUUUGGGAUGAGCCUGCGUCCCAUCAGCUAGUUGGUAAGGUAACGGCUUACCAAGGCAAUGACGGGUAGCUGGUCUGAGAGGAUGAUCAGCCACACUGGAACUGAAACACGGUCCAGACUCCUACGGGUGGCUG